rnacentral:rRNA from 1 species
GUUCGCCGCUGAACUUAAGCAUUUCAAUAAGCGGAGGAAAAGAAAGUGGCAAGGAUUUCCCUAGUAAUUGCGAGUGGAAGCGGGAGAAGCUCAAAUUUUAAAUCUGGUGGCCCCGGCGCCCGAGUUGUAUUAUGGAGAAGCGUCUUCCGCGCCGGACCGUGUACAAGUGCCUUGGAACAGGACGUCACAGAGGGUGAGAAUCCCGUCUUUGACACGGACCCCCGGCGCUCUGCGAUGCGCUCUCGAAGAGUCGAGUUGUUUGGGAAUGCAGCUCAAAACGGGUGGUAAAUUCCAUCUAAAGCUAAAUAUUGGCGAGAGACCGAUAGCGAACAAGUACCGUGAGGGAAAGAUGAAAAGCACUUUGGAAAGAGAGUAAAACAGUACGUGAAAUUGUUGAAAGGGAAACGCUUGAAGUCAGUCGCGUUGGCCGGAACUCAGCCUUGCUUCUGCUUGGCGCACUUUCCGGUCCGACGGGGCCAGCAUCGGUUUCGUGGGGCGGACACUGGCGGGAGGAAGGUGGCGGCCCUGGCCGCGUUAUAGCCUCCCGUCGCGAACGCCCCGUGGGACCGAGGAAUCCGGCGCGAGCCUGGGAUGCUGGCGUAAUGGCUUUAAACGACCCGUCUUGAAACACGG